UCCGGUGUCGUCUAAUGGCAGGACAGUGGACUUUGGAUCCACGAAUGAUGGUUCGAAUCCAUCCACCGGAG
rnacentral:tRNA from 1 species